UGUCAGGGUUUCUGCCUGGAAGUGAACCCAUGUGCACGCAGUGCUGCAGGGGAGCUGGCUGGAGAAACACUGAGCCUGGGGAGAGUCUGAGGUCAGGGGUGACAGAAAUAUUGACCAAAUCAAGGUCAGCACUUGGAAGACCUGACGUGAUCCCAAAGAUUGGAGGCCAGCCAGCGAGAGGAGCAGCAGCUCCCAGCACUCUUA